rnacentral:rRNA from 1 species
UACGGGGGGGGGCAAGCGUUGUUCGGAAUUACUGGGCGUAAAGGGUGCGUAGGCGGGUCUUUAAGUCAGGGGUGAAAUCCUGGAGCUCAACUCCAGAACUGCCUUUGAUACUGAAGAUCUUGAGUUCGGGAGAGGUGAGUGGAACUGCGAGUGUAGAGGUGAAAAUUCGUAGAUAUUCGCAAGAACACCAGUGGCGAAGGCGGCUCACUGGCCCGAUACUGACGCUGAGGCACGAAAGCGUGGGGAGCAAACAGG